AAUAAGAUGCCUGAAUUUAAAGGAUUAUUUUGAUAGAAUAAAUUAUGCAUAAUUAUAUAUAUGUUCUUAUUA
rnacentral:tRNA from 2 species